rnacentral:tRNA from 1 species
AGUGGCUUAGUGGUUCAGUGCUUGGCUGCUAACCGAAAGGCUGGUGGUUCAAACCCACCAGCCAUUU